GUCUGAUUUGCCAGCACUUCACCUGCAAAAGCAAAUUAUUUAGACAUGAAGCUCAUUAUUGAUUAAAAUGGAGGUUGUAAACCAUCUAAGAAGUAAAAAAGAUACAGCAUAAUUGGGACAGAUCAUGCACAUAACUUAAAGAAAUAAUAAUAAUACUAACAACAACAUGGUAGCACCAGAGUUAUAUUUAAACAAAUUAAUUAAAAAUAUAGUAAAAGGCUGAAAAAUUUUAGAAACAGAGGCAAAAAGAGAGUGUCAAAACCUUAGUAAAACCAUUUUAGAGGGCUAUGCCAUUCAGUCCAUGGUGAUAAUAUGUAUUAUUUUUUUUCACUAGACUAGAGUUGUUCUGAGCAUGUUCUAGACAAAUUACAUACAAAAUUGAACAUAUGAACCAGAAUUCUUUGUUAUUAACCUGAAAAGAAGUGAUCUAAAUAUUUGGGUGGCAAGCCCUACAACUAGCUUACUAAGGAAGCCCUAAUCAAUAAUAGAUGGGAAGCCAAGAUAAUUUUUGAAGACAAGGAAUUUCAAUGUAUCAUAUCUAAAUGGCCAGUGCGCAUUCGAUGAGGACAUUCCUCAAAUUUUCCUUCUUAAGUGAAAAAAAUGAAGGCAGCAAGCCAUAAGUUCUUUCAGUCAAACAAUCUACGUUGUGUAAUCUGACAAAAAUAUUGGGAAUUGAACACAAUUAAACAAACAAUUACAGCACUAAACCUUCAAGGCCGAAAGCAAUACAUAUAACUUGUUGUCAUUAAGGCUAAAACCCUCGUCUUAUAGUAAGUUAUCUUCAUUCCACGUGUGUAAACUAGAGCACUGUUAUGGAGAUGUAUUAAAUUGGACAAUCAAGAAUUAUUUACCAACGGAC
rnacentral:misc_RNA from 1 species